AUGGGCCCGCGGUGCAUUAGCUAGUUGGUGAGGUAACGGCUCACCAAGGCCACGAUGCAUAGCCGACCUGAGAGGGUGAUCGGCCACACUGGGACUGAGACACGGCCCAGACUCCUACGGGAGGCAGCAGUAGGGAAUCUUCCGCAAUGGACGAAAGUCUGACGGAGCAACGCCGCGUGAGUGAUGAAGGCUUUCGGGUCGUAAAACUCUGUUGUUAGGGAAGAACAAGUACAAGAGUAACUGCUUGUACCUUGACGGUACCUAACCAGAAAGCCACGGCUAACUACGUGCCAGCAGCCGCGGUAAUACGUAGGUGGCAAGCGUUAUCCGGAAUUAUUGGGCGUAAAGCGCGCGCAGGCGGUUUCUUAAGUCUGAUGUGAAAGCCCACGGCUCAACCGUGGAGGGUCAUUGGAAACUGGGGAACUUGAGUGCAGAAGAGAAAAGCGGAAU
rnacentral:rRNA from 1 species